rnacentral:rRNA from 1 species
CGAGUGGCGACGGGUGAGGAAUACGUCGGAAUCUACUCUGUCGUGGGGGAUAACGUAGGGAAACUUACGCUAAUACCGCAUACGACCUACGGGUGAAAGCAGGGGAUCUUCGGACCUUGCGCGAUUGAAUGAGCCGAUGUCGGAUUAGCUAGUUGCGGGUAAAGGCCCACCAAGGCGACGAUCCGUAGCUGGUCUGAGAGGAUGAUCAGUCACACUGGAACUGAGACACGGUCCAGACUCCUACGGGAGGCAGCAGAG